UAGGUGAACUGCGGAAGGAUCAUUG
rnacentral:rRNA from 1 species